AUGACCUCAGCUACCUCACAUUUCCGUAAUGCGAGACAUUUUUGGGACAUCCUGUACAUUUAUGGAUCCUACUCCUGCAUACCUCCGGCGACAAUUUGCUGAGACAGGAUCCACUGCGCCUUCUUUCUUUCUAAGGAAGCGCUUGUAUCCCCACCAUUUUACUGCGUAUACAAUCCACAAUGAACCAUGUUUUAGCAUUGAAUCGUCAGCCAAUCAGAACAAAGUAAUUUCUACUCCUACUCUCGCUAAUGGAACGCGCUACAGCCGCGGCGUCUUACAAAAUUUGUGGUAUUACUAUUUUGUGGGGUUGCUGCCUUCCAGUAAGGGAUGCCAAUUGUGGGAACUACCUCCGGUAAUUCUCCUUUCCCUCAAGUAGCCAAUCCGUCUCAGUUUGUAUUGUAUAUACUAUCUUCGUUCGUCCUUCCAACAUUCUCGUGUCUAAGGCAGGGCCCGCUAGAAAAGCCUUGCUGACAAGUCCUCUAGCGGUGCCAGGAUGGAACGCUUUCCUUCCUUUUCCUCCUCCAUAUUCCUCUAGAUUCCUCUAGAUAUUUAUAGAGCACCCUAUAAUUUUGUGAGAUCGAUGACGCCACGGAGCCAUUUCCCUCAGCACGCUCCUCUAGGGGGUUUAGUGGCCACUGAUUACCAUCACAGACUAUAUAAAACAGUCCGAUCGCUUCUCGAGAGAGAUUACAAUGAGAACCACAAAGAGAGAAAGAGAAAAAUCAGAGAGAGAGUCACUCAAAGAUAUAGAGAGUUAACGAGAGCUAGACCGGCAGUACAGUGCAACAGUUUCUAGUCUGAUAUUCUCAACGCGCACAUGUCUCAAUCGAAGGUUAUGUAUAGUAAUUUCUCCAAGAAAUGAUUUUAGCCAGAAUCGAAACAGCACUGAGAGAGCUGAGGCAUGAUUUAUAGUUGUCGACACCUCGUGAGAAAGGGAGAGAGAGAGAGAGAGAGAGAGAGAGAGAGAGAGAGAGAGAGAGAGAGAGAGAGCGAAACUAGGAUCGAACGAAGCUACUUGGAAACUCAGGGUGUACAUUACAGUGAAUACACAUUGUAAUGCUAGAAUAAAAAUGAUGACCUAA